UCUGAGUUUGAUGCUGCUUUGAUUUACAUA
rnacentral:piRNA from 1 species